AAUCGGCUAGCCACUUUGUCCAUAGUUAUAUCCACACGUGUUAAUAUAUUUGCAAUUUCAGGAUCAUGUUUAGCACAUGGCUAGAUGCAAAGUUACAUUGAUCGGUGUUGCUGCAAGGUUCCCAAGUUGGUAAAUGUUGAUCUCGCUGAUGUGCAAACCAUCAUGCAAAAUGCAGGAUAAUAUUUGAUCGGGACGAGAACUGCUACAGCCUUCAGUACGUGAUGCAGCUGGGAUCAAACAUUGUC